rnacentral:rRNA from 1 species
AACGAACGCUGGCGGCAUGCCUAACACAUGCAAGUCGAACGAGACCUUCGGGUCUAGUGGCGCACGGGUGCGUAACGCGUGGGAACCUGCCCUUAGGUUCGGAAUAACUCCCCUAAAGGGGUGCUAAUACCGGAUAAUGUCUUCGGACCAAAGAUUUAUCGCCUUUGGAUGGGCCCGCGUUGGAUUAGCUAGUUGGUAGGGUAAAAGCCUACCAAGGCGACGAUCCAUAGCUGGUCUGAGAGGAUGAUCAGCCACUCUGGGACUGAGACACGGCCCAGACUACUACGGGAGGCAGCAGUGGGGAAUAUUGGAAAAUGGGCGAAAGCCUGAUCCCGCACUGCCGCGUGAGUGAUGAAGGCCUUAGGGUUGUAAAGCUCUUUUACACGGGAUGAUAAUGACAGUACCGGGAGAAUAAGCUCCGGCUAACUCCGUG